rnacentral:rRNA from 1 species
AAGACCUUGCACUUUUGGAGCGGCCGAUGUCUGAUUAGCUAGUUGGUGGGGUAAUGGCCUACCAAAGCUUCGAUCAGUAGCUGGUCUGAGAGGACGACCAGCCACACUGGGACUGAGACGCGGCCCAGACUCCUACGGGAGGCAGCAGUGGGGAAUUUUGGACAAUGGGGGCAACCCUGAUCCAGCCAUGCCGCGUGAGUGAAGAAGGCCUUCGGGUUGUAAAGCUCUUUCAGCCGGAACGAAACGGUUACGGAUAACACCCGUGACUACUGACGGUACCGGAAGAAGAAGCACCGGCUAACUACGUGCCAGCAGCCGCGGUAAUACGUAGGGUGCGAGCGUUAAUCGGAAUUACUGGGCGUAAAGCGUGCGCAGGUGGUUUUGUAAGUCAGAUGUGAAAGCCCCGGGCUCAACCUGGGAACU